UUAAUAAAGAACAGCACGAUUUUUUAUAGCAUCAAAAGUUCAUUAAACUUUUCUGCUCCUUCCAUUGUUCCCAAAACCGAUGCUGCGUUACCACGUUGUAUCUCCAGUGAUAAUCUCUGACGCAAAAAUUCAUGGGAACGGCUUUCGCCAGUAUGUUGUUUCAGUCGUUUGCCCAGCUCUUUAACAAUGGCUAUAGCUGACGGUCCCCAUGGGCCCGUUGUUUUACUACUCGGUUUAUCUGCCAUAAUUUGAAAAUAAAUUGGAAAAGUUUUUCCGAAUUUCAUGCGAAUUUGCUGUGGCGUUUUGUAUCGGAAUCGUGUGAUCGUAUCUGCCGAAAAAUUGUCUUUCACAGAAUAGAGAAUUUACGCGGUGUUACUGGUUGUACGGAUUUUACGACUUAUCAGGUCUCCGCGCAGUGUUGUGCAUUGGUCUGCAGGGUUCUUCCGACUCGACGCAUCCGUGUACCCUUACAGUACCUUCCUCGAUCUUGCCAUAUCCAUCGAGAAUGACUACGUUUCCAAAGGCUCCGAUGAAGCGUGCGUUCGAUAAUGCGGCUAACGACGUGCCUGGUCCAGGAGCGUACAAUCCCGAGAAGGCUGCCACUCGCCAACUGCCUCGCCACGUCUCCGUGUCCCUAGAGGCUCUCCCUCGCUGCCCAUCGAAGAACACGCAGGCCGGAGGGAACGCGUUUCGCCGUUGUGGCCUGCCGGCGUUGUGGGCCGCAGCCGCAGCUGCGAUACUUCGCUCACUAUGCAGGCGUUUUUAUUUUAUGUUUUGGUAGUUUAAAGCGUUAUUUAUUUUUGGCUAAGUUUUAUCUGUGAGCGCGGUUUCCCGGGUUUUUUUUAGCCAGAGGUUUUUUGUGAUGUUUUCGAAGCAGUAUUACGGUUGAGAUGCGAGGAAUGAAAAGUAUUUCCCGUUGUGCAUCGUCCGCGUCCGGAUGUGCUCGUUCAGAAUUUCGUUCAUGUGGUCAGUAAAUUAGGGGAAAAAACUAGAAAAUUUGCAAAUUAGUGCUGAAUCAAUAAAUUAAGAAUAAAUAGAAACCACAUUUUGUUAUUCUGAAUCCAGCCUUAAAUUCUGAAAUUUAUAAAUUAAUGUGGAAUUGCCAAAGCAGUUGAAAAGUCAGUUUUAGAAUCAAUUCCUAAAACUUUAUCAACAAAUUUAAAGGUAAGUACUGUAGAGUGUAGAAUCUGUAGAUUAAUGGAUUUUGAAUUCCAAAACGUUAAUCUGUAAAUUAAAAAUUAAUUCAGAAUACAAAAGAAAUCUGGAAAAUCACCAAUUAAUUGACAAAUUAUUAAAAAAAAUGUAAAGGUGGAAAAUAAAUAACAAAUAAAUAACAAAUUCUACACUUUUAUUCGGCAACAGCAUGUACUCAGUGCCAAGAAACCUGCGCAAAUUUAAAC